rnacentral:snoRNA from 1 species
CAAAUGCUGUAUGAUGAAAAAAAGAGUGAUCCAUCGUCUUAGAUACAAUGCUGACUCUAAAAUUGUCUGACAGCAUUUU